rnacentral:rRNA from 1 species
CCUACGGGAGGCAGCAGUGGGGAAUAUUGCACAAUGGGGGAAACCCUGAUGCAGCGACGCCGCGUGAAGGAAGAAGGUUUUCGGAUCGUAAACUUCUAUCAGCAGGGAAGAAGAAAGUGACAGUACCUGACUAAGAAGCCCCGGCUAACUACGUGCCAGCAGCCGCGGUAAUACGUAGGGGGCAAGCGUUGUCCGGAAUAACUGGGCGUAAAGGGUGUGUAGGUGGAACGUUAAGUUAGGCGUGAAAUCCCAUGGCUUAACCAUGGGCUUGCGUCUGAAACUGUCGUUCUUGAGUCACGCAGAGGUAAGUGGAAUUCCUGGUGUAGCGGUGAAAUGCUAAGAUAUCAGGAAGAACACCGGUGGCGUAGGCGGCUUACUGGGCGUUGACUGACACUGAGACACGAAAGCGUGGGUAGCAAACAGGAUUAGAUACCCGAGUAGUC